rnacentral:lncRNA from 1 species
GGGCCUAAACUGCAAAAUUUUAUCUUAAUAACAUGUUCAAUGUUUAUGCCAUUAAAAAAAGGGCUUUAUGUCCUAAUAACUCUUGUAUAUCUUUAUUCCAGGCUUGAUAUUUCUCCCGGAAAAGUCUUGCAAAAGACCAACAUUUGCAGCUUGGCCGGUCAGGAGGACCAGGUGUGGCACUGGACACCUGAGCUGAUUGCAUGGGCUUGGACAGAAAGGAGUGUCAAUGUAGAAAAUGGGUAUGGACUUCCUGGAACCCUGCAUCUCCUUGUUGCUGAAAGCCUGGGAGGAUUUGCUAUGAGAAACCAUCAUCACAAAGCUGGCUGCAAUCUGCCUUAGCUCCCACAAAGGGUAAAAUUUCUACAGUCAGAGGGAAUAAUUUCUUUGAAUACUAUCCUGUCUUGAAAAUCCCAUUUCCAGCCAAGACGAGUGAGCACCUGGCAGCUGAGUGCCUGCUAUGGCAAUAUAUGACCUCUCCUGACAGCUCCCCAUCCAGAUUAUUGCACCCAAAGGGCUGUGAUGAGGCAAAGACCGCCACCUCUCCCAGGGGAAGGAACAAAGGGUGAUCUAAUGGUGCUGGCGUGACUCAGCUGCUCCUGCGCCCCUUUAGGGACUCAGGACACACAUUUGUGGAGCUGAUGAAGUCACUUGAAGUCUGGCUCCCCUUUUUUCCUCUCUGUGAGAAAGCAGGUGCGUCUCCUUGCUGGCUGCUCUGAGGUGCUGAGAUGCUCCCACCAGGAGCAGUCCUGCUGUCAUCCUUUUAGCGUGCAGCGCAGCCACUGGGGGACAUUAUGAGGCGAGGUGGGCUGCUGUGCCAAUAAUGACCUUCUGCAGCUUUUUAUGUCUUAUAUCCCUCAUGGAGCCAUUGCCUCCCAAACAUCUCUACUACUUAUGUGAGAAGUUGGACAACUGGAUAUGUAUUUGCAUCAGCAGACCCAAAGUCUAUAAAAAAGGGGUUGGGAGAACUCUUGCCUUUUUCUGUUUCAGAUCUGAUUAGAAAGCAUAGCCCUUAGAACUAGCACAGAGAAAACCAGGAAGAAUUUUCCAAAGUCAAAACGAACUGUUAAAUCAAGAGGAAUAGAGAACCACCUUUCAGUUAUGAGCAGGUCUAUGCCUUGUCUAGAGCCAUACCUACUGUGAAAUUAAAUAAGAGGUGGGU